AAAAUAUCUAGCACAGCGAUGCGCAGACGUACCGAGCGCAUAUCAAGACAACACCUAUCAGGCUAAGGACAUGUGACAUCAACAAACCUAAUCUCGCUCUCAUACAGGCAGGUGGACUUUUGCAAUACACCAGUCGUUAGA
rnacentral:lncRNA from 1 species